CUCGGGAGUCGGCGUUGUUACUUUGAAAAAAUUAGAGUGUUCAAAGCAAGCCAUCGCUCUGAAUACAUUAGCAUGGAAUAACAUGAUAGGACUCCGCUCUUAUUUUGUUGGUUUCCGAGACUGGAGUAAUGAUUAAGAGGGACAGUCGGGGGCAUCCGUAUUUCAUUGUCAGAGGUGAAAUUCUUGGAUUUAUGAAAGACGAACUUCUGCGAAAGCAUUUGCCAAGGAUGUUUUCAUUAAUCAAGAACGAAAGUUGGGGGCUCGAAGAUGAUCAGAUACCAUCCUAGUCUCAACCAUAAACGAUGCCUACUAGGGAUUGGCGGAUGUUCCUUAGAUGACUCCGCCAGCACCUUAUGAGAAAUCAUUAAGUUUUUGGGUUCCGGGGGGAGUAUGGUCGCAAGGCUGAAACUUAAAGGAAUUGACGGAAGGGCACCACCAGGCGUUGUUUGCUACAAGCUCUAAGCGCCAGUCAGCGAUUGAUGGACCGCCACUGCCCUUGGCCCAUCGCAAGAUCCGCUGGCUAGUUUUCUCCUUUGACAAAAGCGAGAAAGCGACACUCUCGAAGUGCUGGGAAGCUUUUCGAGCGC
rnacentral:rRNA from 1 species